rnacentral:rRNA from 1 species
GACGAACGCUGGCGGCGUGCCUAACACAUGCAAGUCGCGCGGGGAUUUAAGUGGAAGUUCUUCGGAAUGGAGAUUUAAAUUCUAGCGGCGGACGGGUGAGUAACGCGUGAACACUCUGUCCCGGACAGGGGGAUAACACUUGGAAACAGGUGCUAAUACCGCAUAAGACCACGGCCUCGCAUGUGGCUGAGGUCAAAGGAGCAAUCCGGUUCGGGGUGAGUUCUCGUCCGCUUAGCUAGUUGGUGAGGUAACGGCCCACCAAGGCGACGAUCGGUAGCCGGCAUGAGAGGGUGAAAGGAUACAUUGGAAAUGAGAGACGGUACAAACUCCUACGGGAGGCAGCAGUGGGGAAUAUUGGGCAAUGGGCGAAAGGCUGAGCCAGCAACGCCGCGUGAGGGAAGAAGGUUUUCGGAUUGUAAACCUCUGUCCUAUGGGACGAAGGAAGUGACGGUACCAUAGGAGGAAGCACCGGCGAACUACGUG